CAAUAGCGUAUAUUAAAGUUGUUGCGGUUAAAAAGCUCGUAGUUGGAUUUCUGCUGAGAACGACCGGUCCGCCCUUUGGGUGUGUAUCUGGCUCUUUCUUGGCAUCUUCUUGGUGAACGUUGCUGCACUUGACUGUGUGGAGCGCUACCCAGGACUUUUACUUUGAGGAAAUUAGAGUGUUUCAAGCAGGCAUACGCCUUGAAUACACUAGCAUGGAAUAAUAAGAUAGGACCUCGGUUCUAUUUUGUUGGUUUCUAGAGCUGAGGUAAUGAUUAAUAGGGAUAGUUGGGGGCAUUCGUAUUUAACUGUCAGAGGUGAGAUUCUUGGAUUUGUUAAAGACGGACUACUGCGAAAGCAUUUGCCAAGGAUGUUUUCAUUGA
rnacentral:rRNA from 1 species